GAUGAACGCUAGCUACAGGCUUAACACAUGCAAGUCGAGGGGUAACGAGAGGAAAGCUUGCUUUCCUUGUCGACGACCGGCGCACGGGUGAGUAACGCGUAUCCAACCUGCCCCCAACUAAGGAAUAACCUUGCGAAAGUAAGACUAAUACCUUAUAAUUUCCUCAGAUGGAAUCUGACGAGGAAUAAAGAUUUAUCGGUUGUUGAGGGGGAUGGGUCUGAUUAGCUUGUUGGCGGGGUAACGGCCCACCAAGGCAACAAUCAGUAGGGGUUCUGAGAGGAAGGUCCACCACAUUGGAACUGAGACACGGUCCAAACUCCUACGGGAGGCAGCAGUGAGGAAUAUUGGUCAAUGGGCGAAAGCCUGAACCAGCCAAGUAGCGUGCAGGAUGACGGCCCUAUGGGUUGUAAACUGCUUUUAUACAGGAAUAAAGUUAGCCACGUGUGGUUAUUUGUAGGUACUGUAUGAAUAAGGACAGGCUAACUACGUGCCAGCAGCCGCAGUAA
rnacentral:rRNA from 1 species